UUGAUGACUCGUUCAUUAGUGUUUCGAAAGUCCCAGCAAGCCACAACGUCCAUUGUCCGUCUCAUCAGUAAUCAAACAGACUUCUUACGUCAUAGUUACAGACUUCCCAGCUACAAGUUACAACUUAGCACGGUGUCCUUACACGUGGAAUUGAAACCAUGGUUGAAACAAAAGAGUUAGAAACCAUCCUGUUAGAAACAUGUCAGGAUUCCAAAGUUCCAUAGUUACAAGAAAUAACAUAUAGAUUAUUGGAUUGUUUCUAAUGUGUUGGAUUUCAAAUAUCUGCUGAAGACAUAGUGCUACAAAGAAUUAUUUUUCUGUCAGCCAAUGUUCCCCAGCAUUGGUGCCAUUUCAAAUAGGAAAACCUACAACAAGAAGUCCAGUGUACAGUAACUGUUAAAGCUGCCUCCACCUCCAAUGGAAAACAGGAACUUCCUUAAGUGAUCAAUUUCAAGCAUCAUUCAAAAAUUUGCGAGUUCCAGUUUAUAUGUGAAUACAACACUGGUGGUUGCAGUUCCAUAUCAGGAGACGAGUUGAAUUCUGCACUGAAAACUGAGGAAUCAUCAACCAAUCGAAAGAACAAUCUGUGUCAUUACCUUCAUCUAGAUUCUAGAUGUUUCAGAGCCGAACUGGAUGCGCAAGAUCUUAUUAAACCGGAGUAGCAACUGACAAUAUGGUGGUGACGUCCGCCGAAAGAGGUUGGGGAAAAUGAAUAGUUAAUAACUCUCGUCCAGUGAUCCACCGGCUACUCACAUCUAGCGAUAACGAAAUUUCUGCUUCACUCAGGUCAGUUUUGAGACGAUCCUGCUCGCUGUAGGUCCCAACAGAAUUUGGAUACAAUCAUGGCUAUUUCUUUGCCCGGAAACUUGAAAAGUAUAAAACCAUACCUGGAAAUUGCCGAUGAUUACGAAUCCAAUGAUCCGUGUAUCAGUUACUGGUGCCGAUUAUAUGCUCUUAAGCAAGGAUUUAUCCUGGAGAGAGUAGAAGAGGAUCUUUCGUUUUUGCUUGUUUUAAUCGAUCUUUUGGAAAAGAACAAACAGGAUUUGCAGUCUAAAAUAGAGACCACUGAUAUUCCUGUUGCUCGAGCUCACCUUGAAGAUGCGACCCAGAAGCUGUUAAGCUGGGCAGAAAAUGUGCCGCCUUUGAGAUCAUUAACUAAUGUUGUAGCUGAGGUAUUUCAGUCUGCUGGAAUGCUGCAAGAUGUGUGCUCCGUAUUUGGAAAUCCAAGUGAAGGCCAAUUCGAGAGAAAGAAGUAUACCAACUUACAUGAAGAAAAUUGGCAUAGUGAACUCCAUUCGGCAUCGACUACAAAAAAAUCAAACAUUUACCACCAAUAUAGCAAGAAAUUAUCGGAAAACUUAGUUGAUGGAAUUUCCGAAGAACUUCAGAAUGAUGAGGCAAAGUCACCCAAAGUUGCGAAACAUUACGAACGGAAAAAGAUUUACGGACGCCUUUUCAUUUUACAACUGCUGAAUCAUCCAGUAUCACAGAAAAAGCCGGAAGGCCUGCCCAGUCUGGAAAUUGUUCGAAAUAAGAUGGGACGCAAUCAAAUAAUCGCCGAUAGACUAUUGGGUGUUCAUCAGCAGCAGUAUCAACUAAGAACCAACUUUAAUCCCAAGAAGAUCUGCCUGAUCUACAAGAUAGUUCGCAAAGAUCGUGAAGAGCAAAAGAUGGAGUUAAACAACCCACUAUCCCAGGAACCCUCUAGUCCCUUGGGUGGUCGUUCUCGUGGCGGUUCCAGUGACUAUCGCUGGAAUUCCGAUCAGAAUAGCAGUAGUAGAGGCGGCAGCAAAGAACGUUGGAUACCUAAGGCGUCUAGAGAUGCUGAUCAAAUAGGAGGUAAAGGCGUCACUUCUUGGCGUCGAGUAGCCUCAAGUGAUACGGCUCAAUCGUUGAUCGGUGGCGUUGGUGGUUGUAAACAAAAAAUGAACUCCGGUUUCUUUGGUUUACGUAGUCAACCGCCUUCUUGUGAAAACUCCGUUACUCGUCCCGUCUUUCGCGAAACGGCUCGACCAUCAACGCUAUCACGCGAAGAUGUUUUUUUUGGUAAAUCUACCGUGACAGACGAACAGAUUGAGCGAAAAUCUCGUUCGAUUCUAGGUGAAUAUUUCACGAAUGAGAAAAUUGAAGAUGCUGUUUUCAACAUGAAGGAAUGGCUGCAUCCAUCGACCAUAGCCAGAUUUAUCAACCAAUGCUUGCUGCACGUACUAAAACAUAAUAAACAAGAACGAAGAGCGACAGGCGCUUUGUUGAAGGAAAUGGUUAAAAGAAAACUGUUUAAUUCCUCUGACCUUGUGGAAGGAUUUACUGAACUCUUCCAAUCGGCUGAAGACUUCAUUGUGGACAUUCCCAAGUUGUGGGAAUAUUUGGCUGAGCUGGUUGAACCUCUGUUCGAAGAAGGCGUGAUGAAUUUGAAGUUUCUUUCGAAGUUAUCAUUGACCCUGAGUUCAUCUUUGGUUGUCAAUUUUGUAGCUGCAGUUCUGAAGGAAUUAGUCAGAGUACAGGGUGUGACUGGAGCUGAAAGAAUACUUAUCAUGUCGAAUGCACCAUUAACCAGUGUUCUACCAUCUUCUGUGGAUCUGAAUUCGUUCCUCGCCCAACAUACGGAACUCGAAUUCCUUUCCAAAAUUCAUUCUACACCAAGGGGCAGUGGCAGUGUUGGCAAUUCCAUCAGUAGUGCAACUCCCGCCAGUCAAGUUAACAUCGAAUUCCAGCACAGCCUAGAGAAAUACUUGAGAGACGCGACCCAAUUGACUACAGACAACAUCUGUAGCUGGAUUCAGAAACAAUAUGUUGGUGAAGUGAAUUCCGCUUUCGUUCGUGCCUUGGUCACCGCGGUAACGGAGAAUGCUAUUGAAGGAAGUGGUAAGGACAGUAAACUGAACAACACUGUCUUGAAAAAUCGGACGAAGGUGUUAAGGAGGUAUGUUGACAAUAUCGCUGAUCGUGAGCUUCAACUGCUUUUCGCAGUUCAGGCUUUAGUGACCCAACGACAACAUCCCAAAGGUUUAAUUCAAGGCAUCUUCGAGACUCUCUAUGACAGUAACGUCGUUUCUGAAGAGAGCUUUGAAUCGUGGGCGUGUACUGAUGAUCCUUUGGAACGUGAAGACAAAGCUGUGGCUCUCCAGAUGAUGAAAUCUUUUUUUACGUGGCUGAAGGAAGCUGACCCUGAAAGCGAUGAAGAUGAAUAUGCCUGACCUUAUUAAAAGCAUAUGGAGGAGCAAUUGUUUGAGUGCAUCAUGUGAGUGAAAAGGGGGGUUAGGCCAGACCCUGGAAACGUGUAACUGGGAAAGGGGACCUAGUGUUGGUAGAUUCCCCCCCCCCCUUAAAGAAUGGAUUUUUUUUGUAUGUGUGUAAGAAAAAUUGCAUGAUUUACGUACGCUGGAUAAGAAACAGAAACCAGUAAUUUCAUUGAUGUACUUUCGCUAAUUGAAAUGGACAAGUAAUUCCUUUGGAACGUUCCACUCCUUCUCUCUGGUUUUCUCCCACGUGAAAGACGCUCAGUUUACAAAUUCUGUGAACGUGGGGGUUUUGUUAUUAAAUAUAAAGAUUAGCGAAUUGAAAGUUUUCAAUCCAGCAGUGACCAACUUGUAUAAAGACAGUUCCAGUGUUCCAGCGUCAACGCACGAUAAAACGGAAGGCCCACCGCUCGACAUUGGGUUCAAGAAAACCUCACCAUAAUCCGGCUGUGGAAUUUCCUCAAAUCAAACAUCGCGUGCAUCUCUGAUUGUUUCACAGCGCUCUCUUGCUAUACUGCUGUCCGGGUGGAUAGGUUCUCCAGGAAAAAUGUGGAGCUGGAUUGCUACUCACGUGAAGGAUGAUGUGUGCUGUAGCUGGACGAUUUCUUCAAACAGACAGGUUCAUUUUACAGUCGAUCCUCAUCAACAUCUUCGGCUUCCUCAUCACUUCCAUGGACGAUAUUUUAACAGCUGUAGCCAACCGGGCAAUCAUACUCUGUCUAAAGUAAAACUGUAUUUGAGAGUCCAGUCGAGCCUCUUGGAGAAUUGAUUGAAACGGAAGGUCUCAAGGCCAAUCAAAUGAGAUUGCGUUAAUCGACCUAACUGCAACCAAGAAGCUUGAUUCGAUCGGGUUAACAUGUCAACAUAUCGCUUUAAUCUUUUUGAAUCGGAGGAUCGGAUCGAUCGGUGACUAAUCUAAUAAGUAUGAUUAGACUAACUGUAUAUUAUGUAUAUAGAUGUAUUGUAUAUUAUAAUGUGAUCUAAUGACUACUACUUUAAUUAGUAGAAGCAUCCGCUAAUUUUUUUUCCUGUGUUGUAGUUCGUGCUGGCGAGUGAGGAGCAAAUUUUAAAUUUACAAGUAAAACGGAAUCGCAUAGUAUUUAAGGGAAAACAGUUGUUGUUGUUCUUUUUCUUUUGUAUGAUUUGGUUUUUGGUUUGAGUUUUCGAGUAACAAGUAACAACCCGAUCAAUAACCAACGCUUCUACGCAGAAGACUCUUUCUCCGACGUCGACGAUAGAUUUAAAGGAAGACCGGAUUCGAUGGAUUAUGCCUACAACAACGGAAUGGCAGAUCCCAUGCAACAACAACUACAGGGCAUGAACGUACAACAACAACAACCGAAUUUCAACGGUGGAACGGGUGGACCCAUCCACAAUUUGCCCAUGAACAAGACGACGAGAGGCUUGCCGCCCGUCAUCCAACAGCAACAGCAGCAACAUCCCGGUCAACCUCCCCUCAACAACAUGAUGAUGAUGAACGCCGAUGCCAACAACCACCUUUACGGUCACGCCAACAACGUUGCCGCGCCCCAACAAGCGACGACAGCGCCAACUUCCGCACCCCUGUCUUCUCACUUUUCCUUUUUCGGGAUAAGCGGCAACAACCAGCAGCAACAACAGCAGCAGCAACAACAAUCAACAGGGCCCAGUAUCAUCCAGAAGAUGAUGGGCGGCGGUGGAGGCUCUGCCACCGCGGCCGCUCCGACGACGACGACGUCCGGCACGACGGAAAAUCCAGUCGAGGGCCUUUUAUUCAAAGGAAAAGAUUUGAUAUUCAAGAAAUUCGGCCUCUAAUGAAAACAUUUAGUAACAAUAACCUUUUUGCACAACAACAACAACCAACUCUGCCAUAAUAAUCGAUUCGAGCUGAAAUAAUCCCCUUCAAAAAUGAAACCAAAAAUGGAUAGCGCGAAAAACAAUUGAAUUUUGACGAGCCAAAUGGAUGAGGUCAAACACUUUUUUUUAAAUUGCAAAGUUUCCCCAAAAGUUUUGUGGAUGUAAGAUAUAAAAAUACGCACACACACCUCCUGUCUGUCUUGAAUCUUUCUCUUUAACUUUCUCGUGUACAGUUCUAGCAAAAAAAAAGGUUUUUUUGGGGGGGUUCCAAGUAAUUAAAAUUUGUUCAUUCAAAUUGAGGAAGAAAUUUAUGGAUAAAUUAAAUUUUGUUUUAAUUUUGUCCACCCAACAUUUUUUUGUGUGUCUGUGUGAGCCCUGUACAUACAUAAACUUCAACUAUAGACCUUAUUCCAAUGAAAAGGUAUGGGUCAAGCCGACCCCUUUGCGUCGCGUUGCAGUGUGAAGGGGUGCCGUGAACAGAAGAUUUUUAUUUGGCUCGCCCCACAGUACAUGGAUAUUAGGCUUGUCGGGUUAAUCGUGCCCGAGGGAAGAAUAGGGAGGAAAGGAAAGUCUAGUCUGGUCCCCUCUUUUUUUCAUUCUUUCCUUUUUAUUUUAUACCUUUUCAUUGGAAUAAGGUCUAUAUAGGAAUUGUCGCCUGGCGGGAAAUUUAAAAAUUUUUCAAUUAAUUUUGUUUUUUCAAAUUUUUUGGGGGAUUUUUCUUUGGCCGGCAGUAAUUUGCUUUUCCCCAUUAAAAAUUUUAAAUUCGUGUUAAAUUCAACAUCAAGCCUCCCCUUUAAAGAAAAAAGAACGGUCAUUCUCGACCGCCAUCUCUCUCUCUCUCUUUAUUAUUGCAUUAUUAUUACAAUAUUCGUUAUGGUUAUAAUCUAUAUCUUUACAUAUAAUUCUCCAUAUUAUGUGUAACUGUACAAAAGGCAUACAAAAAGGAAACAAAAAAACAAACAAAAUGGCAAAGCAAA